rnacentral:rRNA from 1 species
UGAGUGUCGGAGAUUAGAGUGGCGAACGGGUGAGUAACGCGUGGAUAAUCUACCUUUAAAUAUGGGAUAACACUUUGAAAGGGGUGCUAAUACCGUAUAAUAUUGUAUAUACUAAGGUAUAGAUAAUCAAAGAGAGCCAAUUCAUGAAAGCUUUUGUUUGAAGAUGAGUCCGCGUACCAUUAGCUAGUUGGCGGGGUAAAGGCCUACCAAGGCGAUGAUGGUUAGCUGGUCUGAGAGGAUGAUCAGUCACACUGGAACUGAGACACGGUCCAGACUCCUACGGGAGGCAGCAGUGAGGGAUUUUGCGCAAUGGGGGAGACCCUGACGCAGCGACGCCACGUGAGUGAUGAAGGCUUUUGGGUCGUAAAGCUCUGUCAAUGGGAAAGAAGUUAUAGAUAGUUAAUAGCUGUUUAUAUUGACGGUACCCAUGAAGGAAGCACCGGCUAACUCCGUGCCAGCAGCCGCGGUAAUACGGGGGGUGCAAGCGUUAAUCGGAAUUAUUGGGCGUAAAGGGAGUGCAGGCGGUAUAAUAGGUCAGAUGUGAAAGCCCGGGGCUUAACUUCGGAAGAGCAUUUGAAACCAUUUUACUUGAGUAUGGGAGAGGGUAGUGGAAUUCCUGGUGUAGAGGUGAAAUUCGUAGAUAUCAGGAGGAACACCGGUGGCGAAGGCGGCUACCUGGACCAAUACUGACGCUGAGGCUCGAAGGCGUGGGGAGCAAACAGGAUUAGAUACCCUGGUAGUCCACGCAGUAAACGUUGAUCACUAGGUGAAGCGGGUAUUGACCCCUGCUGUGCCGCAGCUAACGCAUUAAGUGAUCCGCCUGGGGAGUACGGUCGCAAGACUAAAACUCAAAGAAAUUGACGGGGGCCCGCACAAGCGGUGGAGCAUGUGGUUUAAUUCGACGCAACGCGAAGAACCUUACCUGGGUUUGACAUCCUGAGAAUUUUUUUGAAAAAAGGAAGUGCCUUUCGAGGAAUUCAGAGACAGGUGCUGCAUGGCUGUCGUCAGCUCGUGUCGUGAGAUGUUCGGUUAAGUCCGGCAACGAGCGCAACCCCUAUCUUCAGUUACCAUCAUUAAGUUGGGGACUCUGGAGAUACUGCCCCGGUUAACGGGGAGGAAGGUGGGGAUGACGUCAAGUCCUCAUGGCCCUUAUACCCAGGGCUACACACGUGCUACAAUGGUAUGUACAAAGAGUUGCGAGCCAGUGAUGGUGAGCUAAUCUCAUAAAGCAUAUCUCAGUUCGGAUUGGAGUCUGCAACUCGACUCUAUGAAGUUGGAAUCGCUAGUAAUCGCGGAUCAGCAUGCCGCGGUGAAUACGUUCCCGGGCCUUGUACACACCGCCCGUCACACCAUGAGAGUUGAUUGUACCGGAAGUUGUUGGGCUAACCUUUUGGGAGGCAGGCACCCAUGGUAUGAUUGAUGAUUGGGGUGAAGUCGUAACAAGGUA